AUUGAACGCUGGCGGCAUGCCUUACACAUGCAAGUCGAACGGUAACAGGUUAAGCUGACGAGUGGCGAACGGGUGAGUAAUGUAUUGGAACGUGCCCCGUCGUGGGGGAUAACUACUCGAAAGAGUGGCUAAUACCGCAUACGACCUGAGGGUGAAAGCGGGGGACAGUAAGGCCUCGCGCGAUUGGAGCGGCCGAUAUCAGAUUAGCUAGUUGGUGGGGUAAAAGCCCACCAAGGCGACGAUCUGUAGCUGGUCUGAGAGGACGACCAGCCACACUGGGACUGAGACACGGCCCAGACUCCUACGGGUGGCAGCAGUGGGGAAUUUUGGACAAUGGACGCAAGUCUGAUCCAGCCAUGCCGCGUGCGGGAAGAAGGCCUUCGGGUUGUAAACCGCUUUUGUCAGGGAAGAAACGAGUUUCUCUAAUACAGAGACUUAAUGACGGUACCUGAAGAAUAAGCGCCGGCUAACUACGUGCCAGCAGCCGCAGUAACAC
rnacentral:rRNA from 1 species